UGGGGAUUAGUUCAGUUAGUAGAACAUCGGCCUUUGACGUCGAGUGUCGCAGGUUCAAGUCCUGCAUCCCCUG
rnacentral:tRNA from 1 species